rnacentral:rRNA from 1 species
GUGGCGAACGGGUGAGUAACACGUGAGCAACCUGCCCCAGACUCUGGAAUAAGCGCUGGAAACGGCGUCUAAUACUGGAUACGAGACCAACCUGCAUGGGUAUGGUCUGGAAAGUUUUUCGGUUUGGGAUGGGCUCGCGGCCUAUCAGCUUGUUGGUGAGGUAAUGGCUCACCAAGGCGACGACGGGUAGCCGGCCUGAGAGGGCGACCGGCCACACUGGGACUGAGACACGGCCCAGACUCCUACGGGAGGCAGCAGUGGGGAAUAUUGCACAAUGGGCGAAAGCCUGAUGCAGCGACGCCGCGUGAGGGAUGACGGCCUUCGGGUUGUAAACCUCUUUCAGCAGGGAAGAAGCGAAAGUGACGGUACCUGCAGAAGAAGCACCGGCUAACUACGUGCCAGCAGCCGCGGUAAUACGUAGGGUGCGAGCGUUGUCCGGAAUUAUUGGGCGUAAAGAGCUUGUAGGCGGUUUGUCGCGUCUGCUGUGAAAAUCCGGGGCUCAACCCCGGACUUGCAGUGGGUACGGGCAGACUAGAGUGUGGUAGGGGAGACUGGAAUUCCUGGUGUAGCGGUGAAAUGCGCAGAUAUCANGAGGAACACCGAUGGCGAANGCAGGUCUCUGGGCCACUACUGACGCUGANAAGCGAAAGCAUGGGGAGCGAACAGGAUUAGAUACCCUGGUAGUCCAUGCCGUAAACGUUGGGAACUAGGUGUGGGUCUCAUUCCACGAGAUCCGUGCCGCAGCUAACGCAUUAAGUUCCCC